rnacentral:tRNA from 1 species
GGUCGGGAUAGCUCAGCUGGUAGAGCAGAGGACUG